UAUUAAAGUAAUUUAUAAUCAUAAAUGUUAUCUAUUGGCUUUCAAAUAGGGUAUAUAAAUGUUUAUGCCAUAUGUACAGCAUAUAUUAAAAUUAAGCUACUUUCACUUGGUGUUUUAGAAUUUACAAGCACACACAACACUUGCACACACAUCAUCUCAUGUGAUCCUCACAGAAGUUUUGAGAGGGUUAUUGUUAGUGUCAUUCUCAUUUAAAAGAUAGGAAACUGGAACACAGCUCAGUGACAGAUCCAAGAUCUUGACUUACAACAUAGCAAAGACAAGACUAGAGCCCAGAAUGUUUGCUCUUAAUAGAUUUGUUUUCUACCUUGCUUCAACAGCUUGUCUAUAGACCUAUUCGGCUUGGAUUCCCUUCCAGCACUUCAAGGCCCUGUUCCAAUGCCACUUUCUUCCUGAAACUUUGCUGACCCUCCCCAGGCUGUGAGUCCCCAGCACUUUGGCCCAUACCUCCAUAAUAGCACUCAUCACAAUGAAUCAUGACUUGUCCUUUUCACACUGCCUGAAGUUGGAUCAUGAGCUCAUCAAAGCCCUAGGCAGUUUCUGCUUCCUCUUUUUGUCCUCAGAGCCCAGCAGGUUAUAGGGCACAUGGAAGGUGCUAGUUAUCCAGGAAUGUGAAGAGGCAUCUGUGUGUCAGGACUUGUGUUAUGUGCUGGGGGUACACAGAUGACCAGAACAGAACACAUUCCCUGGCUUCCAACCCUCCAGUUGGUAAAUACGUGAAUGCUUGAGUGCUACUUUCUGAAAUGGAUAGAGAAGCAAUGAUUUCAAGAGGAUAGCCACACAGACUGCAGUCCACUCAGAUUUGGCUUGCUUUGCACCUUAAAACUUAAAAGAUUAGCCAAAACAAACUGCAAGAGAUACUCAUGGAGGAUGAACUAGAUUCAUAAGGUAAUGAAGAUCUUGAGAGAGGAAUGGAAUUAACAAAAGAGGAACUCAAGAAUAAUUCUUGCCCGAAGUUGGUAAUAAUAGUUGUAGGAAGAAUCUCCUGAAAGUCCACCUGGUUCCUCUCUUCCACCUGGCAUCCAGCAAUUCCUCUUUGAAGAUAUGAUGGAUUAUCAAUUGUGCAAGGGUGUCAAUGUAAACAUGAAUUAUAAUUUCCAGAAAUAUCUAGUUAAAUAAACUCUCUUUUGUCAAAAAAUCAUUAUCAUCA